rnacentral:misc_RNA from 1 species
GAUGAAGAACGUAUCGAAAUGCGAUAAGUAAUGUGAAUUGCAGAAUUCAGUGAAUCAUCGAAUCUUUGAACGCACAUUGCGCCCGCCAGUAUUCUGGCGGGCAUGCCUGUUCGAGCGUCAUUACAACCCUCAGGCCCCCGGGCCUGGCGUUGGGGAUCGGCGGAAGCCCCCUGCGGGCACAACGCCGUCCCCCAAAUACAGUGGCGGUCCCGCCGCAGCUUCCAUUGCGUAGUAGCUAACACCUCGCAACUGGAGAGCGGCGCGGCCACGCCGUAAAACACCCAACUUCUGAAUGUUGACCUCGAAUCAGGUAGGAAUACCCGCUGAACUUAAGCAUAUCAAUAAGCGGAGGA